UCUCUACAUCCAUCGACUACAUUUGUACCCUUUUGGUUUGCCACUAUUGACAUCCAUUCUGCUUUACAAUACAGUGAUUCACCAGGUUUUGCUGACGGUGGAAUAUCAAUUACAACUUUUUCUUGGCCUUCUCUAGUUCACCAUAUUUACUUGCAGUUAGCUAGCAAUUAGCAAUGUUCGUUUUUUCCUACUUUGUUUUACGCUAACAUGGCUUGUCUCAAGGAUAAUGACUUCACUAUGUCACUGCCCAACAAAGAAAGCAUGAAGAGGACUUUCAAUCCCAAAAAAAAGAUGAACUUUCGUGUCACGAAUUAAAUGCCGAUCACAUCAUUUCCAAUGAAACUUUCCAGCAAUAAUAGAUAAAGAAAAGAUUUUGGUGUUAAGUGAUUUCUUUGGCAGGUGUUGGAACUUGGAAUUGCAGCUCUGUUCGAAUUCAGCUUCAAAUGGGUAGCGAGACUCCCUCCAUUCCAACAAAUGUUCCUCAAGAAACUUCCAAUUCAGAUGAGUAUUUUCUCCAGCACAGCUUAGUAUUUGCUGAAAGUCUCAAGGACUUAAAGAAUCUGAGGGUACAAUUAUAUUCAGCUGCAGAGUACUUUGAGUCGUCAUACGAGAAACAUGAAUAUAAGCAAUUAGUGGUAGAGACCCUAAAAGAUUAUGCCAGUAAAGCACUGAUUAGUACUGUGGAUCACUUGGGUUCUGUAGCCUACAAAGUUGGCAGUUUCCUGGAUAAAAAGGUCAAUGAAAUGUCUGCUACAAGGCUUCAGUUUUCUUGCCUUGAACAGAGAUUGAGAACGUGCCGAGGAUAUACUGACCGCAAUGGCCUUUUACAGCAGUCGCUGGUCAUCAAAACACCUAGACACUACAAGCAUUACACAGUUCCAGUUGCAGAUGGCAAAUUCACAAGGAAAUUCGACUCUAAGCAAGGGAAUGUUUGCUUUUUGAACCCCCAUGAUGAUAAGCCCUCGUCUAAGAAGCAAGCAGAUGAUUGUCGUCUUGAAAAAUUUCAAGGAGCAGUUGCAAAGCCCCGUCCAACAUUAAUGAGAAGAGGACGCUCAGAGCCUCCUCCUAGCGAAUUAUCUCCAAGACCUCUGUCCUUUUCGUUUGUGAAGGUUACAUCAGAUAAGGAAGUAGGGAAACGAACGGCUUCACCGUUUCGCCUUCCACUUAAGCGCUCUGGAUCCGUUGCGAAUAGAUCAACUUCUCCAAACUCUUCUGCUGCUCAACAACGGUGCCCUUCUGAGACUCCAAGAGCAAGUUCAAUGUCUACGAAUCCGGACAGAAACAAAGGCAAAGAAAUCGAACUAUACUCGAGAAAAAGUAAACAUCCCUUCAGAGCAUUGUUAAGUAUUCAUCGGUCAAGAAAGCAGGCAGGGGGUGCCCGUACCACUGCCAUGCACAUUCAGGGAUGACAAAUAACAGAAGAGUAAAGCAACCUGGUUGGCUGUACGGCGUUGUGAGGAGGAUCACCCUUUUGGUCUUUUUCAGAGAACUCGGAAAUUGCAUGCUGUGUUGUGAUUGUUCAUCUGGGCAUCUUCUCUAUCAUAUGCCGCUGCCCUGAAUGAUACAAAAUAAUCUAUCUUUGGGCCAAGGAGAAAACCUAAACUUCACACAGAAAGGAAAAAGGAAGUGCUCGGGAGUUAAACCACUGACGUUGUUGCGAGACUAAUAUCCUACCCGAGUUGGGUUUUGAGAUAUCUGACGGAGUAAUAUUUUUGUCAACCGAGUUGGGUCGUGGAAAUAAUCGAGAAGAUUGUUUCCCGAUGACAAGCUGAGAACGACGCACAUUAAUUCGCGUAUACAAAGCUAAAAAGGGAGAAAACUUUUACUCCCAAAUCAGCAUCCAACGGAAGCUUCAGGCUGUGUGAUCUUUACUCCACCGAACGGAUUGUCUUGUGAAGUUCAUAUGGACACCUUCAGCUAUGACAACGAGCUGAGCACUAUGCUUCAUUCGACGCUCAACAACAUGAAUGUAUUCAGAAGAUGUAGUGGAACUGUAGAAAGGCAUGACCUUGAUCCCCAAUCAAAAUCCGAGUUCAAAACUGGGGAAUUCAUCUGUUCUCUUUGAGCUUAUAUCCUGCUCAGAAAUAUUUUGAUCAUCUGCGACCUCACGAGGGGUGGAAUUACUUGAAGUUGCCAAAUCAAUAAAAUGGACUCCAUUCUGCCAUCUAGUAUCAAUUUCCUUGCUAUCUACGCAAGGCUAAACCAAAAAAA